rnacentral:piRNA from 1 species
GAAUUGCACGGUGUCAGGGGAGA